rnacentral:tmRNA from 1 species
GGGGGCGUACCGGUUUCGACGGGGAUUUUGAAGCACGGACAGCGAGUACAGGUGCGGAACCUGUUAAAAAGCCGCAAAAAAAAUAAACGCUAACAAUAACGUUAGAAAAGUAAACUUCAACAACAUGGCGGUCAUGGCUGCCUAGUUGAAGCUUGCUGUGUCGCUGGUACAGCGGCCCAUCCUGCCGGAUUUCACCGCGGGUUCGGUUUGGGUGUCAUUUUAGCGGUCAACGUUUCUUCGCUUUGCUUCGGGCGGGGAUAACGUAUUAGAAGCUACCGCCAUUCAUAGCCUGUUUAUCGGCGAUGGGCGGCGGGAAUUUUAAAGGAUAAACUGCACUCGGAGAGGUCUGUGUGAAUGGGUUUUCGGACAGGGGUUCAACUCCCCUCGCCUCCACCA